UACGGGGGGGGCAAGCGUUGUUCGGAUUUACUGGGCGUAAAGGGCGCGUAGGCGGCGUAACAAGUCACUUGUGAAAUCUCCGGGCUUAACUCGGAGCGGCCAAGUGAUACUGUUGUGCUAGAGUGCGGAAGGGGCUACUGGAAUUCUCGGUGUAGCGGUGAAAUGCGUAGAUAUCGAGAGGAACACCUGCGGCGAAGGCGGGUAGCUGGGCCGACACUGACGCUGAGGCGCGAAAGCCAGGGGAGCGAACGGG
rnacentral:rRNA from 1 species